AAGCUCGUAGUUGAAUUUCGGUCCCUGUGAGCCGGUCCGCCUUCUUGGUGUGUACUUGCUUCGCGGGGACUUACCUCCUGGUGAACUGCCAUGUCCUUUACUGGGUGCGGUAGCGAACCAGGACGUUUACUUUGAAAAAAUUAGAGUGUUCAAAGCAGGCCUACGCCCGAAUACAUUAGCAUGGAAUAAUAGAAUAGGACGCGCGUUCCCAUUUUGUUGGUUUCUGAGAUCGCCGUAAUGAUUAAUAGGGAUAGUUGGG
rnacentral:rRNA from 1 species